rnacentral:rRNA from 1 species
ACGAACGCUGGCGGCAUGCCUAACACAUGCCAGUCGAACGAGACUUUCGGGUCUAGUGGCGCACGGGUGCGUAACGCGUGGGAACCUGCCCUUAGGUUCGGAAUAACUCCCCGAAAGGGGUGCUAAUACCGGAUAAUGUCUUCGGACCAAAGAUUUAUCGCCUUUGGAUGGGCCCGCGUUGGAUUAGCUAGUUGGUAGGGUAAAAGCCUACCAAGGCGACGAUCCAUAGCUGGUCUGAGAGGAUGAUCAGCCACACUGGGACUGAGACACGGCCCAGACUCCUACGGGAGGCAGCAGUGGGGAAUAUUGGACAAUGGGCGAAAGCCUGAUCCAGCAAUGCCGCGUGAGUGAUGAAGGCCUUAGGGUUGUAAAGCUCUUUUACCCGGGAUGAUAAUGACAGUACCGGGAGAAUAAGCUCCGGCUAACUCCGUG